AGCGACAAUCGAUGCAGACCUUCUUGGUGCUUGGCAUUAUUACUCUGGGCCCAGAGUGCUCUCCCGGAAUCCUCCGAUUCUUGUUACUCAAGAAAAGAUUGCUGAUGGAGCGGACCAUAUACUUUCAAUGAAUAAAUAUUCUCCAUAGGAUCAUUUGCAAAGGCCAAUAAGAAAGAGGACUUCUCGUGGAACAACGUGUGGCUUUUCCUAAGCGCAAGAAGCCGUUCCUGCCAGGGCAUUUCUGCUCACCCCUCACUUGCCUUCUGAAUAGCUGUCACUCUCUCUCUUUUCCUGCUCCUGCUUUUAAACCAUUUCUUUACUGUUAUUACCUCGGCUCAAAGCUCCCAUAAUAGCUUUUUCCUUAAGCACAAGGACAUGGAAAUCAGAGCGACGAUCACAACCGAACAGCUCUGCUGGCGUGAAGGAUGGGAAAUGCUGGCCUGUGAUGACAAACGGGCAGACACACAGUAUUAUGUCAGAACGGGAGACCCAGGCCACAGCCUCAUUCUCGCAAUCCGAUGCUCUUGUUUUAUUUUCAAGCCUGUAAGCUCACAAUAUUUCCUUGAAGGGGACUGUUCUCGUAUGAAAGUCAAAACAAGCAAUAUUUAGUCUGAGGCUAUCAAUCAUUAAUAAUUGAAUGCUGCUUGCACAGCUCCAGGUUGCUGGUGCCACAGAGGUGUUAUUCCUGGAUGCACUAUUUGUAUGUGGUCACUGGAUCUUCUAAUUAAAAACUUCAAUAGGGGAGGAUUUGAAAAGUAUGAAGGUGCUGCCACCUUGAGGAUUCUUCCUGCCUGGUUGGAGAUUUACCUUUAAAGCAAGGGUAGAUUCGGGGUGAUAUCAUUUUAUUCUAUGAAGAAAUUGAACGAACUUGGAAUUCCCCAGUUGGGGAGGUUGCGGAACCUGGGGACAAGCAUCGCGAGGGCCGGCUACACUCUUCAGCCGUACGUUUCAGCACUAGGUGCCACAGGCACCCGUCAGAGGCAGUCUUUUGGAUUUUCCUUGCCGAUGACGGCUCAGACUCACACAAAUCUUAUCAUACAACCCCCUCUUUUUGUCCCACCUCCACCUCCCACUUCUCCCAUGAGAAGUAUAAAAUAGCCGGAGAAAAAAAAAUGAUAGGAUUCUAUUUCACUGAGGCUGAAAAUGACAUAAAACGAGCAGAUAAUUUAAAAUACAGAUUUAAUCACAGAUAAAGAACUACAAACCCCCCACCGAUCCAACUCUCCUAAAUGCUGUCAACUCUUUCUGCAUUAGUGCUUCAACUACAAUAAUAGUGGCCUAAAAAUGCCCUGCUCAGAAAACAGAGGCAUUAGAGAUGGAUGGGAUCCCAUUCCCUAAAUUUAUAAUAAGGGGCAGGAUGGUUGCCAAAUUCAUUAUCAUCUACAAAUGAAAAGGCAAUGAAGUGUAUUAUCAAAGGUAUUCUUUACCAACUAGCCCCCAUUUGAUGAGAUUUAGUUCUAUGUACAUUAGACUGAUGUAUUUUUGAAAAAUCAACCUAAACAGGAGGCUGUUAAUUUGGGGGAAAUUUUUUGUAUUUCUUGGCUUUCAGAAGCCCUACUCAUUAAACCUUUAGUACGUUCCCCAUGAAUUCUCCAGAACAUGUUUACCAAGAUGCCUGCCUUCCGCUUGCUGAGAAAAAGAAGACUUGAACUUCUAUUGAACCUGAGGCUUCAGCACAACUAUGGGGCAGAAGUGGUUCCAUUUCCCCAUUAAAAAGCUUUCAUUUGCAAGCCACAGAUGAAAUUUCAUCUGCUUUGCAUCAGCGUAGUUUUAACUUGAGAGAACUUGGCACCGCAAACCUCACCCCCAUUACUGGUGUUCCCCUUCUGAUGGGAGAUAAUACAUUUACGGCUUAGUCUUUGUUUAUUUUGUUUGUGUGCAAAAUAAAUAAAUUAAUUAAA